ACUGCUUUCAAUUUUCAGUAAAAACUUGGAAAAGGCAAUGAUACAGCUGUAUGGGUACUGUUGAAUCAUGGUCUGAACCGCUGAUUGAUCAGCUGAGGCGAGCACUGAGCCAGCCGUGGGAGCACAGGUGAAGGCAAUUCACCUGUGUGACCAGAAGGGGUAGAGCCUGGCUCCACCUCUUCUAGACCCCAUAUAAGGGCUGACUGCCACUGCAGAAGGGUCUCUUUCUGGAUAUUGCUUCUCUUGGAGUUUUCUCAUGAGCCUACAACACAGAUUGUGAAGCAGCUCUCCAACAAGAAGAGAAACGCAAUACCUGAACCCAGGAACUCUUUCAGCAUUCAGUGAACCGCAGAAAGAUUUAGGAAAGAGGAAAGCAGAAAUGGGUGUGCUUUUUCCAUUUGUUUCACGUGACAGAAGUUUCCUAGGAAGGGCCAGUCCUGUAAGAAAAGUAGCGGACAAAAUUACAUGGAUGAUACAGAUGGAGGGAGCACACAGGAAGAAGAGAAUGUUGUAUUACUGAGUUUGGACUCUCAGAGAAUGAUCAGAGGGGAAGGGACCUAGAGUCUGCCAAACUUUCAAGGGGAAGGUCAAGUGUUUGGCACACCAAACAAAGAAGAACUGUGUGGAUAAUGUAUAGAAGGAAGAGGAAAGGUGGAACUGGCAGCAGGGAAGCAAGUGGUUACAAUAGCAGGAAUGGGACUUAAUUUAUCUCUGUAAAAUGGAAUAAAAUCUGUUGUUAGAUAGCCAACUAGAUGGUAUGUUUCACUGAGAUUUUCCUGAAUUGAAACUGGCCUUUGUAUACUUUGUUGAAAGGUGUUCUGUGAUCUUUAAAAGGAGAGUGAGUUGGCCAUAAGACAAGCCAAUAGAGUCCGCUUUACGGUACUAAAAAAGAUAGCUAUGUGUGACCCAGUUAAUUUUCACAUCUCUUCUCUUAAGAAACUACUCCAUCAAAUAAUCAACUUUCUUUUUUAAUUUUGAAAUGGAAGAAACAGAAUAUGCUUCAUGGAACAUUUCUUUAAAAAAAAGCCUUUUAAUUAAAAAAAAGGGAAAAAAGAAAAACAACACAUUUGCUGUGUGUGUCCAGCUAUCUGUGCUUUCUGUCACUUUGAAUACUUUGGCCACCAGGCGUGGUCAGUGUUUUUGGACACUCCUAUCCGUCCCCAUGACCUUUUUAAUAUCUUUUCAUCCAAAUUGUUGCUGCUGCAUUUAUUCUUAGCAUUCAUAUAAAACAAUCCACUUUCAGAGUCUAUAUUCUCACAAAGACCCUUGAGUUAAUGGUGUAUGGAAAUUUCCACAGGGGUCUGCCUAUAAUGACUUCCAACUCACUAUUCCCAGAUUUGAGUUAGUAAAUCAGAAAAAUAUUUUCUUAUGUUUUUGGUGGGGAGGAGGAAUGACAGGGAGCAGAGAGAGAGAUCGCUGUUAAGUUUAGUAAAUGUAACCUCUUUGGCACUGCUUUUCCAUAUGCAGAGACCAAAUUCUUCCUUAUUCAUUUGUAAUCUUUUUGUUUUGCCCCACCCUUUUCUUCCCACCCUCUCAGUUAUGGGCAGGACCAAAUAUUAUGCUUAGUUGGCUCAUUGUGGAGUGAAAUAGAUUUUAGUGGAAUUAAUUAAUGGAAUUUCUUUUACAUUUACAAUUACAUAGUUAAUGAGAGGGUCUGACCUCAGGAAGAUGCAUUGCCUUUUUGCUUUUGCUGAGCAUUGUUCCCAGUGACACAGCAGCCAUGUACAAAGGGGAAAAUAUAAAUUGCUUUUAAAGUGACAAAGUAAUGUAUUAAAAAAAAAAAAGAACAUUUAGUUUUGAAAACACAAAUCUUUCACUGAAUAAAUAUUUAUCUUGACUAUUUAUAAUGUCAAGUCAAGCGUAAGUGGUAUUAAUUUUGCAUGAAGGGAAGCCAAGUCUAGAAAUCCUAAGCAAAAUCUUGAGAUUGCAGAAAUGUUGAGUUCAAUGGAACAGCAGAUGUCUGAGCAGCGUGAAUGUUAAUUUUGCAGGGUAAGUCCAGUUUUGCUGGAUAAAGCAAUGAAAAUAUUUCACGUAACAGCUUUCAGUUAGUAGAGGUUUUGAAAUGUCUGAUUUUAUUUGUGUGAAAUUUAAG
ensembl:lncRNA